UACGUAGGGGGCAAGCGUUGUCCGGACUUACUGGGCGUAAAGCGCGCGCAGGCGGCGAUCUACGUCUGGGGUGAAAGCCCGGAGCUCAACUCCGGGACUGCCUUGGAUACGGGAUCGCUUGAGGAUUGGAGAGGCAAGGGGAAUUCCACGUGUAGCGGUGAAAUGUGUAGAUAUGUGGAGGAACACCUGUGGCGAAGGCGCCUUGCUGGCCAAUUUCUGACGCUGAGGCGCGAAAGCGUGGGGAGCAAACAGG
rnacentral:rRNA from 1 species